GACGAACGCUGGCGGCGUGCUUAACACAUGCAAGUCGAACGGAAAGGCCCUGCUUUUGUGGGGUGCUCGAGUGGCGAACGGGUGAGUAACACGUGAGUAACCUGCCCUUGACUUUGGGAUAACUUCAGGAAACUGGGGCUAAUACCGGAUAGGAGCUCCUGCUGCAUGGUGGGGGUUGGAAAGUUUCGGCGGUUGGGGAUGGACUCGCGGCUUAUCAGCUUGUUGGCGGGGUAGUGGCUUACCAAGGCUUUGACGGGUAGCCGGCCUGAGAGGGUGACCGGCCACAUUGGGACUGAGAUACGGCCCAGACUACUACGGGCGGCAGCAGUGGGGAAUAUUGCACAAUGGGCGGAAGCCUGAUGCAGCAACGCCGCGUGCGGGAUGACGGCCUUCGGGUUGUAAACCGCUUUCGCCUGUGACGAAGCGUGAGUGACGGUAAUGGGUAAAGAAGCACCGGCUAACUACGUG
rnacentral:rRNA from 1 species